UUUACGCAUUCUCAUUUAAUUUUGCAGAGCAACGUAUUCAAAGUGCUGUCAAACUUGGCUCUUGAGUGCUCCAACUUCAAAGUUCGAUCGACAGCAUGUGCAGCCUUGGUGUCCGUUCCAUCAAGAGAACUUUACAAAGAACAUUACUUACCUCUUUGGCCUACUUUCAUUCAAGCUUUGGAGAACUCUCAAGGCAUAACAGAUUUUACAGAGUACAAACACCAGCACAACCUCAUUGACCAGAUUUGUCUAUCCAUUAGUUACCUAGCGAAGUUGUGCAGGCCUGAAGACCUCGACCACAUAGAGGAGAUUUUGAUUGUAAAUUUUGAAAUGUUGAAGGAUAAUUACGUCAAGUUUCACAAUCGAGUCGUACCUGAAAAAUCAAGUGAGCUAUCGGAAGCUACAAGUUACCUUUUAUCUCUUCUGGACUCUGGUGAUGUUUCAAAAAGGCGCUCUGAAACUAUUUGCAUCCUGAUUACACUAUUCACAAAUGACGUAAUUUGAAAAUCAAUGUGAUAAUCUCGCUCUAAAGAGUGUCACUGUGAAAGAGAUUGAAGGCAGGGUUGCCGCAGUCAAGGAACACUUGACAAUAUUAGGAAAUGUCAGAGAAAAUGACGAAAGUGUCAGGGAAAAAUUGUGAAGCCACCUUUGUGUGCUUUCUAGAAUAAGUUUGACUUUUUGAACAACAGAUUUUGCAUAAGAACCAUUUCAAAUUAUGCGAUUUUAACCUUCUGGCAUUUCAAAUGUGACAAGAAAAUCAGGAGAAUGUCUGGGAAUUUCAUUCUCUAAAUUCAAAUUCUGUGGUAACCCUGGAAAGAAUGAAAAGCAUUCUUUUUUCUUGCAUUCCAUGAAGAGAUUCUAAUCGGAAGCUAUUCAUUUUUGUCAUUCACUAAACUUCUAGUUUCUAAGUUACAUUUUUGAACAUGUAUCCUGGGCCGAGAGUGGUUUUUGGACUUAGUUAUUUUGCUGAAUGCAAUUUUUGUCUGAAGUUACACUAAAAUUACAAUGUCAUUCCUUGUUGGUGAAUGUUUAUAACAGGCCCAUUGUUAUGUCAUUAAUUACAGAUGGUUUUGCUUUUAGAAAAGCUUCUUGUCUGACAAGAUAUGCUACAUUAACACACUGGCACACGUCUACCAAGAUUUUUUUUCACUUUUAUGUCGCAUUAAUGAUUUGUAAUUUGAACUUGUGGUAUAGACUGAUGUAACUACCUUUAGCUUCUCAGACAACAUCCAUCGCCUAAACAUGAUUUUUUGUUACUUAUUAAAUGAUAUCGUCAUGGAGGAUCAUUCUCCAGGGAUAAAUCAGUUCGAUAUGUGAAAUUAUUUACGCCUUCGGUCGUUACGUUCCUUUUAUACUAAUGCAAUUUAUUUUUUACUUAUACUGCAACUUUUUAUUGGAAGCUAGGUUUAGUAACUAAUAUUUCUAAUUCAGUACAAUUAACUUCGGAAAAUGCAUGCCUUAAAUAUUUAAAGGUGCAAGUUUUUUUCCUGUCAGUGUUUCAAAUAAGAAAGAAUUUUAAUCGAGCUCUUCAAGUUUUACCUCUGCCAUUCCAGUGCUAUUAACAUAUACACUUAAAAGCAGGUAUGCAUUAAAAAUAACUUUUGAAUCACAUUAGGUGACUGAAAUACCUACCCACCAAAGAUUUUUUUUCCUGCCAUAAAACAACUCAAGAAGAUUUUUUAUCGAAUCUUUUAAUCAGCAUCUUGUUAUGAACCAUGAUUUGUAGAAUUACUUUUUAUCUUCUUCUUCUUCUUUGGCCUUACAAGAAUUUUCCUCUCUAUUACACCGAUACACUGGUAUGACUGUUAAAAAUAGUUACACACACACGCACUGGUACAGUGGUAACUGUUAAAAAAUAUUUUUAUAUUUCCAAAACAAGCUCCAGCUUUUGAUUAAUAAUAGCAGCCCCCCUUUAACAUUUUUGAAAUAAAUAAAAAAGAAUUUAUAAUUGGUUUAAUUUAUUUUGUUAUUUUAAGUUUCAGAUCAUUGUUACUUGAUGGUUCUUUUAAAAGGACCUUCUUUGUUCAUUAAUUUUAUACCACUAAUAAAAUGUUAUUUUAUAUUUACUUUAAUUUUUCCUCUUCUCUUUUGAAGUAAUAUUUCACAAACUUUUUUCAAGCGUUUUCUCUCAAAAUAGUCCGUUAACAAGUAUGUUUGGACUCGUUUAAGUGAAAGAAGCCUGUCUUCAAUGGACAUUGUGAGUAUGUGGAUGGGCUUUUUUUGAGUAUGUGAGGAUUCCCUGACCCGAGAGCUUGUACGUGUAGCUACAGAGCGAUAUCUACAGAAUGUAUAUCUGUUUCGCUGAUGAGGUGAAACAAGAUGGUUUUUUUACAUGCAUCCUAAAGCACUUAUUUUGCGCAUUUUCCUUUCUAAAUAUUCAGAAUGGUAUUAGAAUUAGAAUUGAGAGAAAUGUCAGAUAGAACAAUUAGUUUUGUAGGGGCUGAAUAACUUAGGUACAAAUAAGAAAAAUCUACACUAUCUACUUCACCAGAAUUGAAUGUUUCAUCAGUUCGCGUCGUAAACCAUCUGCACAUCAAGUACAUCAUCCAACCAGUCCUGCUGGUUGCAUUCUACCAAAUUGUAGGAGAUUUUAGUUUCUUAAAUGUAAAGAAAAAGUUGCCUUUUUACUACCUUCUCUCUUUAUCUCAAAAUAUAUAUAAACAAAAAACUUCAGAAUAACUUAUUCCUUGAUGCAUGCAGGUCAAUUCUUCAACUUGCAGACUGUAAGAGUUAGUUUAAAUUUGUUUUUUUAAAUGUAGUAAAAUUCUGAUGGACAUUCAGGAACCCACUCUCAGUAGCAUAACGAUGGUGAAACUGCAGAAAUGCAUAUCUCGACUUGCGGUGUUGCGGACUUCCUGUCAUGCUUUAUUUUUACUUGGGCAACAACAGAACAACAUUUUUUUAAAAUUUCAAUGAUUUUUCUCAUCAUUAUAAAGAAUAUUCUGUGAAAAUUUCAAGCAAUGAUGUUGGCUCGGUCUCCCUUUGAAAAAUAAAAUAGUAGCAGAAAAUUCUAGACACCGCAACCGAAAUAUGCAUUUUUGCAGUUUCACCGUCGGUAACAGAACAGAAGUCCAAAAAUGGAAUUUUAUUUAUUUAUUACAUAUACUUAAUUUCAUACAUAUCGGCGUUAAGGCUACGGCGAAAUUCUUAAAAGCUUACAGAAUACUUCCUUAGCUCACAUUUCCCCCAAAAUUUUAACAAAUUGUUGAAAAAUUGGACUCUAGGUACUCCUCAUCAGUGUCAAAACAGCCAUCUGCCAUUAGUCUAGGAAUUGCUCUAAAAAGUACCAUCUGAGUCUCAGGCUGUUUAAUAAUGGCUGGUAACUUAUUAUGCAGCUUCCCACCUGUUGAACAUGAGGCUUACUUAUGAAAAUAAUAUUUCCAAAAAUUUGAGAAACCAUUUUGAGGCAACAAAAAAGCAUCCAGGUUAGCCUCAGACCGAGCUCUUGUGCUUUGUUAACUGAGGUCCUAGUCUGAAAACUAUCUCUUAUCUCUGAAACCAAUUACGGGCCACUGAACACACAAUGGGCCACAAUGGACCCACACAAAUCACAACGGGCUAUUAGAAAAGGUAGGUUUGAAUUAAUUUACUACAUGGUAACAUUUUAUCCUCUUCAAAAUUCCAUGAAGAAAACGAAUCUUGCGACAGGAAGUCUGGAUAUUCAUGAACAAGAUAUAGGUCUUCAUCUACCAUUAAUAUUGGUUAAAUGGCAAAACAGAUGACGUCAUUUGUAUCAUCUAACUUCCAUUUGAUUUGUGUCAAAAUACUUCUUAAUAUUUCGUUCAGAGAAUGAUUUCCGUACUCAGGGCCGGAUUUACGAUUUUUCCGCUGGAAGCCGAAUAAAAUUUGCCGCCCCGGGGGGGUCUGGGGGGGGACUCCCCCCAGCCCGAGGGGGGUCCGGGGGGCCUCCCCCGGAAAAUUUUCAAAAAAAAGACCUGGAAAACACCAUUUUUUGCUACCUUUUCUGUAUUUUUCGCCUCAUUUCGUGUCGAUUUUAAACCUCGAAUUUCAAAAUUUGCCGCCCCUCAAAAUUUGCCGCUGUAGGCCGCGGCCUACCCGGCCUCAUGGGAAAUACGGCCCUGUCCGUACUUCCUGUUGUACCUAUGAUGAGCCGUUAUCUAUGUAAGAUUCUGAAGAGAAAACAUGUGGCUUUCUUUUGGUUCACACCUUGUCUAGUCGCCCAUUAGAAAAGAAUACUUUUGGUAAAUUACAAAUCCUCAAAUUUAGAAUUGGUAGUAAGUAACUACUAACUUCGUCUUUUAUUUUUUAUUAGUCUUUAGGGUACCUAAGCAAACUUUCAGCCUCUUUAAAUUCAGGAAUGCAUUCAGCCAUGAUUGUGGGUCCAGAAUAAGGAGCUUCAAACACUAAUAAUAUCUUAAUAAAAGCACUGGACUCCUGCGUAAUUCGAAAUUUUAUUUCCUGUGCAUUUGUGUAGCAAAUGCUGCGACACUACAGAGCCCCUAAUUUCCUACCUAAGUAGAUACUUCCGUAAGAGCCAGAGCUUUCAGAGACUAGUGGGUCUAGGGUUGAAAUCUUCCCGCAUGGUAUUCUAACCUCAAGAGUUAAUUCUUACUUCAUUCAAAUAAAGUACUGUAAUUGACCGUAAAUUGUUGCAGCCAGAUUUGGAAUGAUCGAGAAUGAAAAAUUAAACCAACUAGAUACAUACUAGUACAUACUUAUUUGAUGGAUGACCAACAUCUUAGGUUAGCUUUACCCUGGAAAAAGUAACUAUAUUGACAUUUAGACGCAUUCUGUUCUUCAGUUGCUGGUUACUUAAAGUCUUAAGAAAGAUACAAUGACACCUUUGCUAAUUUAUUAUAUUCAAUCAGUAAAGAGAUCUGCUUCGAACGAAUGAAAACUAAAGAAGAGAGCAUCUUCAUGCUUUGUUUACGAACACAACAAGGUGGUAUU
rnacentral:lncRNA from 1 species